rnacentral:lncRNA from 1 species
AAAAAAUACACCUAAUUAUAUAUACUAAAUUGAAUUAGAGUGAAUGUAAGACGAUGAAGAUAAGAUAUAUGUAAAUACUAUUGGGAUACCACCAAUUGAAGAUGAUUAUCAUGAUGAGGUGUAAUUACUGCAGGUGAUGCUUCGUUAUCUUGAAUACGGUCGAAAAUGGCGUUGGCUUCGAUAUGGUCGAAUAAUAACCUGACUAACAUGUUCCGACUCCACGCGCGCACGCAACUUUGGCACCCACUAUGGAGUAAAACCAUCACAAUAACUUUUUCGACGAUCAGAAUAAAACAAACCGUGGCCAUAACAACUGCAGCGACAGCCAUAGGAAGAACCUCCGGUUUUUUAAAUUUUUUUACGAGAAAAGUCAUAGAGCAAGCGAGAAAU